UAAUACGGAGGGAACUAGCGUUGUUCGGAAUUACUGGGCGUAAAGGGCGUGUAGGCUGUUUAAUUAGUCAGAGGUGAAAUCCCUAAGCUCAACUUAGGAACUGCCUUUGAUACUAUUAUACUAGAGAACGAGAGAAGUUAGCGGAACUCCAAGUGUAGGGGUGAAAUUCGUAGAUAUUUGGAAGAACACCAGUGGCGAAAGCGGCUAACUGGCUCGUUUCUGACGCUGAGACGCGAAAGCGUGGGUAGCAAACAGGAUUAGAUACCCUGGUAGUCCACGCCGUAAACGAUGAGUGCUAGCCGUUUGUGAUUAAUCACAAGUGGUGCAGUUAACACAUUAAGCACUCCGCCUGGGGAGUACGAUCGCAAGAUUA
rnacentral:rRNA from 1 species